rnacentral:sRNA from 1 species
CACACUCAAAUAUGUUGUUUGCUUCAUCCAAUAUGUCUGAGUAGUCUGCUUGUUCGGAAUAGGGUUUCUCAUUAGGGAUUCAUAUGGUUUAGUAGAUUGCCCCCUUUGCUAUGUUAUCUGUAGAAUUCUUCAUCUUUAAUUAUGUCUAAUGCUAGAUCUAUAGUAAUUAAC